CUCAUUUCCUUAUUCCUUUCCUGUUAUCUCAAAUUUGAGAAGUGUGAGUAAGAGUCCCGCAACGGAGGUGAAAAGGUUCGAGCCGUUCGGAGGUUGGAACACGGGGGAUGGCAUUAUUGAAGCAUCGCUUGGCUUGCUUGGUAUUGGAAUUGGCUUGCUUGAGAUCCAGGUAUUUCUAAACCCGGUAACGGGUGUUGAUUACUCAGUGGCAGGUCCAUCAGAGUUAAUAAGGUAGCUACCUGGCGAUCGCAACCCUUCUUUUCUUCAUCCCUAUCCUCCUUUAGUUGUAUUCAGUUAUUUUCAGGCUAAGUUAGUCUUGAUGUUGUCAGACGGUUAUAGUAGAUGCUCCUGACUAGUGACACCUCGAUGUCGGGCUUUCUUUCUACACUGUUGUUUUGAUUUAAACUCCUUAUGCAGGUUUAUUGUUAAAUAGCUUUGGUUUUGUCUUAAA